rnacentral:rRNA from 1 species
AUGGAUUCUGCAGAAGCAGUACCUGCUCUGGUUGAGGAGUACUUGAAGAAAGAAGCUCAAGAGUUUAAGGCUGCUUUCACCUCUGGGAUCACUGAUGUGCGUCAUUUUCCUAGCUGUAGCCGCGAGCAAGUUGAUGAGAGCAUCAUGGACUUUGCAGAAGCAGUACCGGCUCCGGUUGAGACGGAGUACUUGAGGAAAGCAGCACAAGAGAUCAAGGUCAAUUUCGACAAGAGACAAGAGAAGAUGCAUAGGUUCCCUGCAAGCCUACGCGGUCUCGGCAGCCAGUACAUUGUGCCAAAGCUUGUGGCCAUUGGCCCUUACCACCAUGGCUCACCCCGCCUAAGGCACAUGGAGAAGGUGAAGCACGUGGCUGCUCACCACUUCGUCAACGAUUCAGGACGCUCGCUUGAGGAUAUCUAUGGGGAUGUCGUCAAGGUUGCUGACAAGGUCCGCUGCCUCUAUGAUGACGAUGUGCUGUGCUGGCAAGUAUAA